rnacentral:rRNA from 1 species
CCUACGGGUGGCAGCAGUGGGGAAUCUUGCACACUGGGGGAAACCCUGAUGCAGCACCGCCGCGUGGGUGAAGAAGUAAUUCGUAACGAAAACCUCUAUCAGCAGGGAAGAACCACUAACCUUACGGUCCGCAGACGUUACCUGGUGAAGAACCCCGGGUUACCUACUUGCCAGCAGCCGCGGUAAUACGUAGGGGGCAACCGUUACCCGGAUUUACUGGGUGUAAAGGGGGCGUAGACGGUGGGCCAAGUCUGGAGUGAAAUGCCGCAGCUUAACUGCGGAACUGCUUUGGAAACUGGCGAACUAGAGUGCGGGAGGGGUAAGCGGAAUUCCUAGUGUAGCGGUGAAAUGCGUAGAUAUUAGGAGGAACACCGGUGGCGAAGGCGGCUUACUGGACCGUAACUGACGUUGAGGCUCGAAAGCGUGGGUAUCGAACAGGAUUAGAUACCCCUGUAGUC